UACGGAGGAUCCAAGCGUUAUCCGGAUUUAUUGGGUUUAAAGGGUGCGUAGGUGGCCUGUUAAGUCAGGGGUGAAAGACGGUAGCUUAACUAUCGCAGUGCCCUUGAUACUGAUGGGCUUGAAUACACUAGAGGUAGGCGGAAUGUGACAAGUAGCGGUGAAAUGCAUAGAUAUGUCACAGAACACCAAUUGCGAAGGCAGCUUACUAUGGUGCGAUUGACACUGAGGCACGAAAGCGUGGGGAUCAAACAGG
rnacentral:rRNA from 1 species